rnacentral:rRNA from 1 species
UUUAUAUGAGAGUUUGAUCCUGGCUCAGGAUGAACGCUGGCGGCGUGCCUAAUACAUGCAAGUCGAACGAGUUCUGAUUAUUGAAAGGUGCUUGCAUCUUGAUUUAAUUUUGAACGAGUGGCGGACGGGUGAGUAACACGUGGGUAACCUGCCCUUAAGUGGGGG